GGGAUUGUGGCUCAGUGGUAGAGUGCUUGCCUUGCACGCGUGAAGCCCUGGGUUCGAUCCUAAGCACCA
rnacentral:tRNA from 1 species